AGCAGCCGCGGUAAUUCCAGCUCCAAUAGCGUAUAUUAAAGUUGUUACAGUUAAAAAGCUCGUAGUUGAAUUUCGGGAUCAAUAUGUCGGUCGUGCCUUGGUACGUACUGGUAUCAUUGGUCUCUCCUUUCUGACGAACCAUGAUGUCAUUAAUUUGGUGUUAUGGGAAGUUAGGACUGUUACUUUGAAAAAAUUAGAGUGUUUAAAGCAGGCUUUAGCUUGAAUACAUUAGCAUGGAAUAAUGAAAUAGGACGUUCGAACCUAUUUUGUUGGUUUCUAGGAUCAACGUAAUGAUUAAUAGGGAUAGUUGGGGGCAUUAGUAUUCAAUUGUCAGAGGUGAAAUUCUUGGAUUUAUUGAAGACUAACUACUGCGAAAGCAUUUGCCAAGGAUGUUUUCAUUAAUCAAGAACGAAAGUUAGGGGAUCGAAGACGAUCAGAUACCGUCGUAGUCUUAACCAUAAACUAUGCCGACUAGGGAUCGGAUGAUGUUAAUUUUUUAAUGACUCAUUCGGCGCCUUACG
rnacentral:rRNA from 1 species